UAGAAUCUGUUUGGCUGGUGAGAUCAUCUGCAAGAAGACCCGAUAAACCGGUGGUAGCUGGUUCCCUGCAGGACGGUGAGGUGCCGGAGGUCCCUCCUCCCCCUCUGGACAUCGAGGGGUCGCCGGCGUACACGAUACGGGUCAUUCUGGAAAUCGUGACGCCGGGUGAGGGGCCUGCAGUACCUCGUGGACUGGGAGGGGUACGGUCUGGAGGAGAGGUGCUGGGUACCAGUGGGGGACAUUUUGGAUCCGUCGAUGUUGAGGGAUUUCCAUCACCUCCAUUCGGAUCGCCCUGCGCCUCGCCCUCCGGGUCGACCUCGAGGCCGGUGUCAGCACGCUGCUGGAGCCGCGCGUCAGGGGGGGGGGUACUGUCACGAGCACUGAGCACUGAGAUCUCCCCUGUGUGAAUGUGAGCACAACUUAAAGCCUUAGUUGUCACGACUCCUACCGAAGGUGGCUCCCCUACCCGUUCGGGUGGCGCUCGGCGGUCGUCGUCGCCGGCCUACUAGCUGCCACUGAUUCUUUCCUCCCCCUCCUUGUCUGUUUAUUGGUUACACCUGUUAUGUAUUUUGGUGAUUAGUUGGGCUUUAUUAGCCAGCUGGGCCGCCUGCUCUUUGUGCGGGAUUGUUUGUGUGACAUUUGUGCACGUUUGAGGUGAACGUGUUUUUUCCCUGUUCGUGGGUUUUGCUGGAGUGUUUUAGUCCCCGUGUUUGGGGCAUUUGUUUUGUGUGCGCCCAGUGUUUCGUGGGGUGGCUUAUGUUCGCCGUUUGUGCAUUAAAGAGCACUACCCUGAACUCUCUGUUUCCUGCGCCUGCGGAUUAAAAAUAAAAAUAUAGGACAAAACACACAUCAAAACAAGAGAGACAACACUACAUAAAGAGAGACCUAAGAUAACAACAUAGUAUGGUAGCAACAACAACAUGACAACAACAUGGAAGCAACACAACAUGGCAGCAGCACAACAUGGUAGCAGCACAAAACAUGGUACAAACAUUAUUGGGCACAAACAACAGCACAAAGGCAAGAAAGUAGAGACAAAAAUACAUCACGCAAAGCAGCGAC
ensembl:lncRNA